GACGAACGCUGGCGGCGCGCCUAACACAUGCAAGUCGAACGGGAUCUUUUAGGAAGCUUGCUUCUUGGCUGAUCUAGUGGCGGACGGGUGAGUAACACGUGAGCAACCUGCCUUUCAGAGGGGGAUAACGUUUGGAAACGAACGCUAAUACCGCAUAAAAUAUGUAUAGGGCAUCCUGUACAUAUCAAAGGAGAAAUCCGCUGGAAGAUGGGCUCGCGCCCGAUUAGGUAGUUGGUGGGGUAAAGGCCUACCAAGCCGACGAUCGGUAGCCGGACUGAGAGGUUGAACGGCCACAUUGGGACUGAGACACGGCCCAGACUCCUACGGGAGGCAGCAGUGGGGGAUAUUGCACAAUGGGGGAAACCCUGAUGCAGCGACGCCGCGUGGGUGAAGACGGCCUUCGGGUUGUAAAGCCCUGUUGACAGGGACGAUAAUGACGGUACCUGUUUAGAAAGCCACGGCUAACUACGUGCCAGCAGCCGCCG
rnacentral:rRNA from 1 species